rnacentral:rRNA from 1 species
GAUGAACGCUGGCGGCGUGCCUAAUACAUGCAAGUCGAGCGAACGGACGAGAAGCUUGCUUCUCUGAUGUUAGCGGCGGACGGGUGAGUAACACGUGGAUAACCUACCUAUAAGACUGGGAUAACUUCGGGAAACCGGAGCUAAUACCGGAUAAUAUUUUGAACCGCAUGGUUCAAAAGUGAAAGACGGUCUUGCUGUCACUUAUAGAUGGAUCCGCGCUGCAUUAGCUAGUUGGUAAGGUAACGGCUUACCAAGGCAACGAUGCAUAGCCGACCUGAGAGGGUGAUCGGACACACUGGAACUGAGACACGGUCCAGACUCCUACGGGAGGCAGCAGUAGGGAAUCUUCCGCAAUGGGCGAAAGCCUGACGGAGCAAAGCCGCGUGAGUGAUGAAGGUCUUCGGAUCGUAAAACUCUGUUAUUAGGGAAGAACAUAUGUGUAAGUAACUGUGCACAUCUUGACGGUACCUAAUCAGAAAGCCACGGCUAACUACGUG